rnacentral:rRNA from 1 species
UACAGAGGGUGCGAGCGUUAAUCGGAAUUACUGGGCGUAAAGCGCACGUAGGCGGCUUGGUAUGUCGGGCGUGAAAUCCCCGGGCUCAACCUGGGAACUGCAUCCGAAACUGCCUUGCUAGAGUAUGGGAGAGGGAAGUGGAAUUUCCGGUGUAGCGGUGAAAUGCGUAGAUAUCUGGAGGAAUACCGGUGGCGAAGGCGGCAUCCUGGACCGAGAUUGACGCUGAUGAGCGAAAGCUAGGGGAGCAAACGGG